AUUUAUAUAGUUUAUAAAAAACUUUUCAUUUUCAUUGAAAAAAUAAGAAAUAUUUCUUUAUAAAUA
rnacentral:tRNA from 1 species